CCUACGGGAGGCAGCAGUAGGGAAUCUUCCGCAAUGGACGAAAGUCUGACGGAGCAACGCCGCGUGAGUGAAGAAGGUUUUCGGAUCGUAAAACUCUGUUGUCAGAGAAGAACAAGUCGGAGAGUAACUGCUCCGGCCUUGACGGUAUCUGACCAGAAAGCCACGGCUAACUACGUGCCAGCAGCCGCGGUAAUACGUAGGUGGCAAGCGUUGUCCGGAUUUAUUGGGCGUAAAGCGAGCGCAGGCGGUUCCUUAAGUCUGAUGUGAAAGCCCACGGCUCAACCGUGGAAGGUCAUUGGAAACUGGGGAACUUGAGUGCAGAAGAGGAGAGUGGAAUUCCAUGUGUAGCGGUGAAAUGCGUAGAUAUAUGGAGGAACACCAGUGGCGAAGGCGACUCUCUGGUCUGUAACUGACGCUGAGGCUCGAAAGCGUGGGGAGCA
rnacentral:rRNA from 1 species